AUUGAACGCUGGCGGCAUGCCUUACACAUGCAAGUCGAACGGCAGCGGACCUUCGGGUGCUGGCGAGUGGCGAACGGGUGAGUAAAGUAUCGGAACGUACCUUUCAGUGGGGGAUAACGUAGCGAAAGUUACGCUAAUACCGCAUAUUCUCUGAGGAGGAAAGCAGGGGACCUUCGGGCCUUGCGCUGAUGGAGCGGCCGAUAUCAGAUUAGCUAGUUGGUGGGGUAAAGGCCUACCAAGGCGACGAUCUGUAGCGGGUCUGAGAGGAUGAUCCGCCACACUGGGACUGAGACACGGCCCAGACUCCUACGGGAGGCAGCAGUGGGGAAUUUUGGACAAUGGGCGAAAGCCUGAUCCAGCCAUGCCGCGUGAGUGAAGAAGGCCUUCGGGUUGUAAAGCUCUUUCGGCCGGGAAGAAAUCGUGUGGGCUAAUACCCUGCAUGGAUGACGGUACCGGAAUAAGAAGCACCGGCUAACUACGUGCCAGCCGCCGCGGUAAUAC
rnacentral:rRNA from 1 species